GAUACGUGGGCUGCACGAAAAAUAGCAGUGAGUUCACAUCAAAUUACAAAAAAAUGUGUUCGUCGAGUAAACUUUGUGUCGUGGCUCUUUAAUAGAAUCGCCUAAAUCACAUUCACACUUCAUACUUUUUAGCGGAUUUGAGUCCUGAACCACAGCCAACGUAACAACAAGAUAUUCCAGUUUUGCUUCUGCUGGAACUGUCAUCUCAGCAACAACCUUUGCAUCACCACUUGGAUAAACAGCAUCCCUGUUGAUUGGAGAUUCUAACCAUGGCCGAGCUACGUAUCUCUUCCUUCGUCUCCCUUUCUUUAAAUGUUUUCGUGUACACUUCAUGUGAAUGUGGGUGUAUUCACGAGGACCC
rnacentral:lncRNA from 1 species